GAAGGUAUGGCUCAGUGGUAGGGUGUGUGCUUAGCAUGCACGAUGUCCUGGGUUCAAUCCUCAGCACCUCCA
rnacentral:tRNA from 1 species